rnacentral:rRNA from 1 species
CGCUAUCACUCCUACGGGAGGCAGCAUGGGGAAUAUUGCACAAUGGGGGAAACCCUGAUGCAGCCAUGCCGCGUGUGUGAAGAAGGCCUUCGGGUUGUAAAGCACUUUCAGUAGGGAGGAAGGUAGUGUAGUUAACACCUGCACUAUUUGACGUUACCUACAGAAGAAGCACCGGCUAACUCCGUGCCAGCAGCCGCGGUAAUACGGAGGGUGCGAGCGUUAAUCGGAAUUACUGGGCGUAAAAGCGCAUGCAGGCGGCCUGUUAAGUCAGAUGUGAAAGCCCGGGGCUUAACCUCGGAAUUGCAUUUGAAACUGGCAGGCUAGAGUCUUGUAGAGGGGGUAGAAUUUCAGGUGUAGCGGUGAAAUGCGUAGAGAUCUGAAGGAAUACCAGUGGCGAAGGCGGCCCCCUGGACAAAGACUGACGCUCAGAUGCGAAAGCGUGGGGAGCAAACAGGAUUAGAUACCCUGGUAG